GUCUGUGGCAAUAGCACCCUGAACACGCCCAAUCUUGUCUGAUCUUGGGAGCUAAGUGGGGUCGGGCCUGGCUAGCACUUGGAUGGGAGACUGCCUGGAAAUAUUGCAUGCUGUAGGCU
ensembl:rRNA 5S_rRNA 5S ribosomal RNA